rnacentral:lncRNA from 1 species
CUGCGGCCCAGUACGGGAUCCACUGGGUGAAGCCAACUGGGCUCCUGAGUCUGGUGGGGACUUGGAGAACCUUUAUGUCUAGCUAAGGGAUUGUAAAUACACCAAUCGGCACUCUGUAUCCAGCUCAAGGUUUGUAAACACAACAGUCAGCACUCUGUGUCUAGCUCAGGGUUUGUGAAUGCACCAAUCGACACUCUGUAUCUAGUUACUCUGGUGGGGACUUGGAGAACCUUUGUGUCCACACUCUGUAUCUAGCUAAUCUAGUGGGGACGUGAACUUUUGCGUCUAGCUCAGGGAUUGUAAACGCACCAAUCAGCACCCUGUCAAAACGGACCAAUCAGCUCUCUGUAAAACAGACCAAUUGGCUCUCUGUAAAGUGGACCAGUCAGCAGGAUGUGGGUAGGGCCAGACAAGAGAAUAAAAGCAGGCUGCCGGAGCUGGCAGUAGCAAUUGGCUGGGGUGUUUUUCCGCUCUGUGGGAGAUUUGUUCUUUCGCUUUUUGGGUCCACGCUGCGUUUGUGAGCUGUAACACCGUGAAGGUCUGCAGCUUCACUCCUGAAGUCAGGCGAGAAGACUACGAACCCACCUGGAGGAACGAACAACUCCAGACUCGCCGCAUUAAGAGCGGUAACACCGCGAAGGUCUGCAGCUUCACUCCUGAGCCAGCGAGAUCACGAACCCACCGGAAGGCUGUAACAUAUCUGAACAUCAGAAGGAACAAACUCCGGACAGGCCGCCUUCAGGAACUGUAACACUCACCGCGAGGGUCCGUAGCUUCAUUCUUGAAGUCAGUGAGACCAAGAGCCCACCAAUUCCGGACACAACAGGACACACUGCGGCUUCUCCUGGCUUUUUCAAAGUUCAGCCCAAGAGGAAGAGAGACCUAAUUAAUACCCAGGAGAUGGUGGUGUUUAUUUUUUCCAGCUGGGACAACUAAGGCCCCGAGAGGAGAAAGGGACUAUCCGGGGUACAGAGGCCACUGAGUCAGAGCUAGGACCAACAUAUCACCAGCUCUCCCUCUUCAGCGCAGACCCCAACUCACCAGCGGUGGCUUCCUGAAGAGCUGGGUUAAGGAGGAUUCUGAGGUGCAGCAGAGCUCGCUAAGAGGCUGACGGGUAAGGGGUGCUGCGCUGUGAGCACAGGAGCCAGACAGUCCUACAGUUCAACUCCAACAUCAGGGACUGAGUCGUACACAGGAAGAUCACUGAGUAGGUUCUGUGGAGACGCAGUCGGCCCAUAUGCACGUCACCACUCGGCUCCCAGCUCAGGUGCAGACCAACGGCGACCACUUGCUCCACUUUGCUCUGUGACAGCAGACGAGGAGCCCACCCACCCCUAUCCGAGCCGACCCCUGACUGCCCCUGCCAUUGCUCCCUGCUGAGUUGCAGACAUUGACUUCUUGCCAAGCCUCAGGCCUUGCUCACAUCGACACCUCACAGUGACCCUGAGAGGCAGAUGCUGUGACCCCAUUUCACAGAUGAAGGGCCUGAGCCACAGAGGAGGAAGACUGCCUCAGCCACGCCGCUAGUAAGUGGUAGUUCCCAACUCUAGAGUCCCAAAAGAAUUCUGUCCUACUUAUGAAAAGUAUAUCCAAUAAGCAGUACCUCCCUGUGUUUACAACUUAUCUGCUGAUCCCAAGGAUGGGAAAAGCUGCACUCAGAAACUUGCAAAUUGUGCAACUGUUCCCCACGAUUCCCUUGGGGCCAGUGCCGACUGAGGCAUCUCCAGGAGGCCCCAGUUGGGCUUGGGGACAUGCUGAGAGGUGACAGCACUGCUCUCAAGUCAUAUCCUCUGCUUCUGCAAAAGCUGUGGAGCUCACCCAUCAAUAGCAGCUCCAUGCCGGGCGCAGUGGCUCACGCCUGUAAUCCCAGCACUUUCGGAGGCUCAGGCGGGCAGAUCAUCUGAGGUCAGGAGUCCGUGACCAGCCUGGCCAACAUGGUGAAACCCCGUCUCUACUAAAAGUACAAAAACUUAGCUGGGUGUGGUGGUGUACGCCUGUGAUCCCAGCUACUCAGGAGGCUGAGGCAGGAGAAUUGCUUGAACCCAGGAGGGGGAGGUUGCAGUGAGCUGAGAUCACGCCAUUGCACUCCAGCCUGAGCAACAGAGCAAGACUCCAUCGCAAAAAAAAAAAAAAAAAAAAAAGGCUCUAGCAUUGCCAGAUCCCAGGCCCUGUGGAAGGUAUUUCCCUCCCUCUUUUGUCCUUGCUUGUCUCAGAGCCCUUUUCACAGUCUCUUGUGUGCUUCUUUCCCUGUUAGGACCAAUCUUUACAACUCCAGCAAGCGCAGCAAAUAAGAUGCAGAACUGGGGGAGAUGCAACGUAUGACUCAAUUCCCUUGAGCCGAAAACACUCACUUAUUAACAAUAUUUUUUUCUUUUUUUUGAGACAGAGUCUCACAAAAACAGGCACACGCCCCCACACCCGGCUAAUUUUUGUAUUUUUAGUAUAGAUGGGGUUUCACCAUAUUGGUCAGGCUGGUCUGAACUCCUGCCUUCAGGUGAUCCACCUGCCUCAGCCUUCCAAAGUGCUGGGAUUACAGGCAUAAGCCACCACGCCCCACCAAUGAAAUGUUUUCUAAAGGUGUUUUCAUCCCUUUUGUGAUCUCCUAAACUCCCAAGGUGUAUCACACACUUCGCUGGGCUCUGGGCAAACAAAACUUAGACAAGGUCCCUGAUUCUAGAAACCCUCGGUCGAGGGAACCACAAACCAACCAGAGUGGAGGGCAGGGAGAGGUCCUAGGUUGGGAGCUGGGAGCCUGGAGCACGUGCCAGGUGCUCUGCAGCCCAGCUUCAUUAUGGAGGCUCAAGCGCUGUGAAUUUCCAAAAACAGUGAACACACCCCUAGCUGAUUGAAAUACAAAAAACAUAUUCCACAGCCAAAUGAAAAUGACUUUUGGAUCCUCCACCUAAUUUGGGUGUUUAUGCCGCCUCGCCCCUCUUUUGGCCUGGACAAUUGAAAUAUAUCUGCUCUCAGGGGAGACGCCCACGGUGUCAGGGCUGGAGUUGGCAAGAGACAGGGGGAAGAGGACUAGACCUGGAGUCAGAGAUGAAGUUCUUGUCUGGGAUCUGUCACUAAGUCUCAGCGGGGACCCAGGAAGUCACUCCACCUCUCAUAGUUCCUCAUCCACAAAGUGGAAAUACAAGCAAGUUUAAUUCUCCAUCGUAAGGUUGGAGCUCCUGUCUGUGAAAGGACUGGAAAUGUAAAAUGCGCUCUUCAAGUACAAAGGCAGAGAGGAUCCAUAAACAGGCACAGGCUGCCCUUUGGUAUAAACUGUUCACAUUAAAUCUAUGUUAUGUU